rfam:Synechococcus phage S-MbCM7, complete genome.
CCUGGUUUCUUACUUCCAGAUAAAGAGUAAGUGGUGGUGCCAAACCCCUUCCGUGUGGUUGGUUCUUGUUUACAACUGAAACAAACAAGUGGCGUGCAUGUGU